rnacentral:rRNA from 1 species
UACGUAGGUCCCGAGCGUUGUCCGGAUUUAUUGGGCGUAAAGCGAGCGCAGGCGGCUUUGCAAGACAGAUGUGAAAUCCCCGGGCUCAACCUGGGAACUGCAUUUGUGACUGCAAGGCUAGAGUACGGCAGAGGGGGAUGGAAUUCCGCGUGUAGCAGUGAAAUGCGUAGAUAUGCGGAGGAACACCAAUGGCGAAGGCAAUCCCCUGGGCCUGUACUGACGCUCAUGCACGAAAGCGUGGGGAGCAAACAGG